rnacentral:rRNA from 1 species
UACGGGAGGCAGCAGUGGGGAAUUGUUCGCAAUGGGCGCAAGCCUGAUGACGCAACGCCGCGUGGAGGAUGAAGGUCUUCGGAUUGUAAACUCCUGUUGCCCGGGACGAACGGCUUCAACCUGACACGUUGGAGUGUGACGGUACCGGGUGAGGA